rnacentral:rRNA from 1 species
UACGUAGGGCGCAAGCGUUGUCCGGAAUUAUUGGGCGUAAAGAGCUCGUAGGCGGUUUGUCGCGUCUGCUGUGAAAACCUAAGGCUCAACCUUGGGCUUGCAGUGGGUACGGGCAGACUAGAGUGCGGUAGGGGUGACUGGAAUUCCUGGUGUAGCGGUGGAAUGCGCAGAUAUCAGGAGGAACACCGAUGGCGAAGGCAGGUCACUGGGCCGCAACUGACGCUGAGGCACGAAAGUGUGGGGAUCAAACAGG